rnacentral:rRNA from 1 species
UAAGGAAUAUUGCGCAAUGGACGAAAGUCUGACGCAGCAACGCCGCGUGCGGGACGAAGGCCCUUCGGGUCGUAAAGCUCUGUCAAAGGGAAAGAAGUGCAUGGAGGUUAAUACCCUUCAUGUUUGACGGUACCCUUAAAGGAAGCACCGGCUAACUCCGUGCCAGCAGCCGCGGUAAGACAGAGGUGGCAAGCGUUGCUCGGAAUCACUGGGCUUAAAGGGUGCGUAGGCGGUUGGGUAAGCAUCCUGUGAAAUCCCCCGGCUCAACCGGGGAACUGCAGGAUGGACUGCUUAACUUGAGGCGUGUAGAGGUCACUGGAACUCUGGGUGGAGCGGUGAAAUGCGUAGAUAUCCAGGGGAACGCCCAUGGCGAAGGCAGGUGACUGGGCACGUCCUGACGCUGAGGCACGAAAGCGUGGGGAGCGAACG